GGAGGUGCUGGGUGUUUGCUGCAGUCCUGUGCUCAGGUACAGGCUGCUGGGUGUUUGCUGCAGCCCUGUGCUCAGGUACAGGGAGGUGCUGGGUGUUUGCUGCAGCCCUGUGCUCAGGUACAGGGAGGUGCUGGGUGUUUGCUGCAGUCCUGUGCUCAGGUACAGGGGUGUUUGCUGCAGCCCUGUGCUCAGGUACAGGGAGGUGCUGGGU